GAAGAGCCAUAGCUCCGUGGGAGAGCAUCUGCUUUGCAUGCAGAAGGUCCCAAGUUUGAUUCCAAGCAUCUUCA